GUAAAAUACUAAUCUUAAGAGCCACAAGGAAGAACUGAAGAAAGGAAGACCUGCUGUUGCUUUUCAGGACCAAAAACAUCUUAGUCCAGGUACAAAAGGACACUAACGUACCUUCACAGUCAAGGUCUAGCAAGACAAGGGCUAACUUCAGUCUUUGCUGCAGUUAUGGCACUUGAGACAAG
rnacentral:lncRNA from 1 species